GCCUAGCGGAAGCCCCACGGUGGCCGUAGCACUCCCCUUACAUAAAACCCUAAACCCCAGGACCAAGGAUUUCUGGGUCCACUUUGUGGAACCGGCGAAUCAAUUCCUUACCGUCGGUCGUCAGCUCUCCGAUUAUUCUUUUUUCUCGCAUUGAAAUGCAACGAGCUUUUUUCUCAUAUUUUACAGGUUUAAUCAAAGACGAUUACUCGAAAACUUUUGACUCUUAAAUCACAAUCUCGGUGUAAUUUCAUCUUCAAAUGGGAAGAUUCAGUUGGUUAAGACUGUAUCGGCGGCAUUUGCUCGCAUCUGCGGCUAACGAUAAAGACUUCUUUGCAAGGGUCUCUGAAUUGCGCCCACAAGCUUUGCACAGAUUUGGUUUUCUUUCUGGGAGAUCUGUUGAAUAUGCAACUGCGAGGCUGCCUUUGGGAAUUCGUUAUAUUCAUGCCACAGGAUUUUCUUCGUCGGCUGAACGAAACUACUAUGAAAUUCUUGGUGUUCCAGAAAAUGCUAGUCGAGAUGAAAUCAAAAAAGCUUUCCAUUCGCUUGCAAAGAAGUACCAUCCGGAUGCAAAUAGGAAUAACCCUUCUGCAAAGAGGAAAUUUCAAGAGAUUAGAGAAGCCUACGAGACUUUACAAGAUCCUGAAAAGAGGGCACAAUAUGACAGGAAGCGCACCCAAGGUUCAGAAAAUGUAGAAUAUGCUGGUGGUGGUGCAGACGGGUUCAGAUAUGCUUACCGAACUCAUUUCUCUGAUUCAUUCCAUAAAAUAUUUUCUGAGAUCUUUGAACACGAGACUGAUCAUUUUGCGUCUGAUAUCCAGGUUGAGUUGUCACUCUCCUUUUCUGAAGCUGCAAAAGGAUGCACAAAAAAUCUGUCCUUUGAUGCAUUUAUGCCCUGUGAUUUUUGCCAUGGGCGUGGCUAUCCACUUGAUGCCAAGACAAAAGUUUGUCCAACUUGUGGUGGCAUAGGGAGAGUUACAAUUCCUCCAUUUACAUCAACGUGUGGCACUUGUAAAGGGUCUGGCCAAUAUAUUAAGGAAUACUGUAUGUCAUGUAAAGGAUCAGGGGUAGUUGAAGGUGUUAAGGAGGUUAAAGUUACAAUUCCAGCAGGUGUGGAUGCCGGAGAUACUAUUCGUGUACCAGGAGCUGGUAGUGGAGGAAGGGGAAGUCAAGCUGGCAGCUUAUUUAUUAAAAUAAAGGUUACUGAAGAUCCUGUCUUCACUAGAGAUGGUGCAGACAUUUAUGUGGAUUCUAAUAUUAGCUUUACACAAGCUAUUCUUGGUGGCACAGUUGAUGUUCAAACUUUAUCUGGGAAGGUGCAAGUUAAAAUACCAAAAGGAGUUCAGCCAGGACAACUUCUGGUACUAAGAGGCAAAGGACUGCCAAAGCAUGGUUUUCUUGUAAGCCACGGAGAUCAUUAUGUGCGCUUCCGUGUUAACUUCCCCACUGUUCUAAAUGAACGCCAACGUGCCAUACUUGAAGAAUUUGCACAGGAGGAGAUAAAUCAUGCAAACAGUAACUCUAUUGAAGGAAAUUGGUGGCAGCCAAUUCUUGAGCAUAUAACGGGUCCUAGGUUUAUGCUCGAACUAUCUCUAAUCAUGUUGAUCCUUCUAUUCGUGAAGAAAAUCAUGGGCUGAAUGGUGAUUCAAGAUGAUUUGAUGGAUGUAUCUGGCGUUAUCCUUUGGAGUUUUGUUGAUUGAAGAUGGACAAUCCAUUUUUAGAAGCUCUGGAAGUAUCUCGCAGCCCUUCUGGAGAAGCAUAAGUUCUUCUUUGCCAAAUGUGUGAACUGAAAGGUGGCUCCAAUGGCAUUUAAGACAAACCAUGGCUAGUUAAUGUGGGGAGAUUGACAAUGCCUUGGUAAACUGUUUAAGCCGCUCGACCAUGCUUCUGUGAUUAUUUGUAUUUUUAAGAUGGUUGCUUUUUUUGUUUGUUCAUCAAAAUUCCCUUCCUUAGCACAGUUCCUUACCAAUCGUUCCUUAAAGAAUGACUUAUCAUUGACCUAGGCUCUCAACUUCAAUGGCGCUCUUUAACUUAUGGCUCUGCCAAUAUUGGGUCCACCAGUAACUAUUUUUCUCAUUAUGCCUGUCCAAUAACUAGGCAAGUUUUUGGAAUGUGAUUUCAUCAGACCUUGCUUUCCUUUACUAUUAGGGUGACUAUUGCAGUUAUUAGCCUGAUAUUUUCCGAGUUAUUGUAAGUUGUACUCUCUGUACACUUUAUUUUCCUCGAUAUGCUGCCCCCACAUUGUUGAUUCUUUCUGCACAAUACUGAUAUCAACUACGAAUUUGUUUUCUGCUUUCCUUCUUGGCGAAAGUUCAUAUGUGGUUGAAGUUUUUUGACAAGUUAAUUGCAAUGGAGCCCUUGAAAGUUUUGAUA